rnacentral:rRNA from 1 species
AGACAGGUGGUGCAUGGUUGUCGUCAGCUCGUGUCGUGAGAUGUUGGGUUAAGUCCCGCAACGAGCGCAACCCCUAAGAUUAGUUGCCAGCACGUAAAGGUGGGAACUCUAAUGUGACUGCCGUUGACAAAACGGAGGAAGGUGGGGAUGACGUCAAAUCAUCAUGCCCCUUAUGUCCUGGGCUACACACGUACUACAAUGGCCGGUACAGACGGAAGCGAAGCCGUGAGGUGGAGCAAACCUGAGAAAGCCGGUCCCAGUUCGGAUUGUAGUCUGCAACUCGACUACAUGAAGUCGGAAUCGCUAGUAAUCGCAGGUCAGCAUACUGCGGUGAAUACGUUCCCGGGCCUUGUACACACCGCCCGUCACACCACGAAAGUUGACAACACCCGAAGCCGGUGAGCUAACUCUUAGGAGAGGCAGCCGUCGAAGGUGGGGUUGAUGAUUGGGGUGAAGUCGUAACAAGGUAGCCGUAUCGGAAGGUGCGGCUGGAUCACCUCCUUU